CGAGAAGAUGCUUCUUUCUCUCCUCUCGCUCCCGUGUCAAAGUAAUUGAAAAUCAAGUCCAGAUAAGCCUUUCAUCAAAAUCCUCCUUGCAAUGAAUAGCAAAUUCAUUACCAUAAUUUGCCGGAUUAAGUUCGUUUGCGUUUGUUCGGAGAACGUUCCUGUCUAUGCAAAGAUUAGCCACUCAGGUAUGGCACAUUACGACGGUCGUAGCAGCAACGAUCUCUCUUUCUUCGAGAUGUUCACGGAACAACCUUCACCGUGCCCGGUUUUGCUAAUUCUAGGACUGCUGUCAUGUUUAAUAUGCCUGCCAAGGUAUGUCUCCUAUAUCUUAUCCGUGAAGUCGACAAGAGAGAACAUGGGUUGGAUUCUUCCUGCAAUUCCAUUAGCCAUCAUGAUAAUCGUUCAUUGUUAUUCGACUGCGGAUGACCAUGAGAAGAUGACAGUUUCCGUUGGCUGCCACGAUGAGUCGGAUGUUGAGGGCUUUCCAUGGCGAUUGGCUGCUCUCUUGGUUCUUCUGCUAUUCUUGGCCAAAUUACACAGGAACCAAUUUUACUGGAGAUGUCUUGCUAAGCAACCGAACGUGAUCUUGUUUUACUAUGUCCAUGCAUCCUAAGUGUCCUAGGCCAAUCCCUCAUUCUUUUUGUUACCAUUUUAUGAAAGGUGGUCGAGCUCUUAAUGCAAUUCUGAGUUCAGUGAA